UACGAAGGGGGCUAGCGUUGCUCGGAAUUACUGGGCGUAAAGCGCACGUAGGCGGAUUGUUAAGUCGGGGGUGAAAUCCUGGAGCUCAACUCCAGAACUGCCUUCGAUACUGGCGAUCUCGAGUUCGGGAGAGGUGAGUGGAACUGCGAGUGUAGAGGUGAAAUUUCGUAGAUAUUCGCAAGAACACCAGUGGCGAAGGCGGCUCACUGGCCCGAUACUGACGCUGAGUGCG
rnacentral:rRNA from 1 species